rnacentral:rRNA from 1 species
AGAGCGAACGCUGGCGGCGUGCUUAACACAUGCAAGUCGAACGCGCAGCAUUCUGUAGCAAUACAGGGUGUGGGCGCGUGGCGAACGGGUGCGUAACACGUGGAUAACCUUCCUUCAGGUGGGGAAUAACCCAGUGAAAAUUGGGCUAAUACCGCAUAACAAAACGAUGAGACAUCUUGUUGUUUUCAAAGGCGCAAGUCGCCAGAAGAGGGAUCCGCGGCCGAUUAGCUUGUUGGCGGGGUAAUGGCCCACCAAGGCAAUGAUCGGUAGCCGGACUGAGAGGUUGGCCGGCCACACUGGAACUGAGACACGGUCCAGACUCCUACGGGAGGCAGCAGUGGGGAAUCUUGCACAAUGGGCGAAAGCCUGAUGCAGCAACGCCGCGUGGGGAUGAAGCUUCUCGGAGUGUAAACCCCUUUCGACCCGGAAGAAAGCCCGCAAGGGUUUGACGGUACGGGUAUAAGGAAGCCCGGACUAACUACGUGCCAGCAGCCGC